UCACCUCUACCUCGUCUACGUAGAUCCCCUUGUCGGGGCCGUGGGAGUCAUGGCCGAUACGAAUCCUAUCCAACUAGGGAUAACAGAGAAAUUUUGAUUUAAAUCGUAAAGAGCGAAUAUUAAAUGGUAAGAAUCUUUAAGACCAUCACGGAAAUGUGAUUACUGACAAACCGCAAGGAGGGGCUGUAAGAAUGUAAAAGAGGUCUCGGCAAAAAGACGGAGGAACCGCAAAGAGAGGCUGUAAGAAUGAAAAAGAGGUCUCGGCAAAAAGACGAAGGAACCGCAAAGAGAGGCUGUAAGAAUGUAAAAGAGGUCUCGGCAAAAAGACGAAGGAACCGCAAAGAAAGGCUGUAAGAAUGUAAAAGAGGUCUCGGCAAAAAGACGAAGGAACCGCAAAGAGAGGCUGUAAGAAUGAAAAAGAGGUCUCGGCAAAAAGACGAAGGAACCGCAAAGAGAGGCUGUAAGAGAAUGUAAAAGAGGUCUCGGCAAAAAGACGAAGGAACCGCAAAGAGAGGCUGUAAGAAUGUAAAAAAGGUCUCGGCAUGAAGACGAAGGAACCACAAAGAGACGCUGUAAAAAAGUAAAAGAGGUCUCGGUAUGAGGACGAAGGAACCACAAAGAGACGCUGGAAGAAUGUAAAAAAGGUCUCUGCAUGAAGACGAAGGAACCACAAAGAGACGCUGUAAAAAAGUAAAAGAGUUCUCGGUAUGAGGACGAAGGAACCACAAAGAGAGGCUGUAAGAAUGUAAAAAAGGUCUCGGUGUGAGGACGAAGGAACCGCGAAGAGAGGCUGUAAGAAUGUAAAAAAGGUCUCUGCAUGAAGACGAAGGAACCGCAAAGAGAGGCUGCAUGAAGACAAAGGAACCGCAAGUAGACGCUGUAAGAAUGUAAGAGAGCAUCUCGGCAUGAGGACGAAGGAACCGCAAGUCGAGGCUGUAAGAAUGUAAGAGAGCAUCUUGGCAGGACGAAGGAACAGAAAAUAGCUAGUUCAGAGCGAAAACCAAAUAUGUCCUUUAUUGGUGUAAUUCGUUUAGAACUGUAGACACCAAUGCAAUCGGAAAGAGGGAAUGACAAUAAGUUUUUACACUUCUAAGUUCAUUAGACAGAAGAUUCUAAGUUCAUUAGACAUAAGAUAACAAUGAAAAGCAAUGUCACAACUAAAAGGAAUCAAUGACAGAUUUUUAAUUUUCCUUUCAAAUCUGUACUUUUUGCGAGAGCGUUGUUCUCAGCUUUUGUUGCAAAUGUAUUCUUACUUUGUGUUUUUAAGCACUGUAAUUGUAAGUGUUUGUCUAACAGUGAUCGGGCAGCUAUGCAUUAUAUUUUCUUUCAGAUAAACAUUCAACAAUAAGCUCUGAGAAUAAACCAGAUGUUGGUGGGUUUUCAAGAUGCAGGCCAUUCAAUAUAAAGUGUUGACCCAAUAGAGUCGAUAAAAGUCCCAGCUCCUACUGAUCGUGCACUCUCAUUACAAGCAACAGAUUAAUGUACACACCUUUCCAACAGUCGGCAUUUCCACUGAAAACUUAUAAACUUUUCCUUCCUGGAAUGUAUCGGUAGGUCCCCCUGUGGGUCUUAGAACGAUCCUGCUACUCUCCCCCUUGUCUCCACAAAGCUGAAGGUAGAGCUUGGCAUUAGGGUUGAACACACGGCCGAGCUGCAUAGAGACAUCAUACUGCUGGGCUGAAAGACAAAACAUGAGAAAUGGAAUUAUGAUAAAAAGUAUCGCAGACACUUGCAUA